UGGGGAAUAUUGGACAAUGGGCGAAAGCCUGAUCCAGCAAUGCCGCGUGAGUGAUGAAGGCCCUAGGGUUGUAAAGCUCUUUUACCCGGGAAGAUAAUGACUGUACCGGGAGAAUAAGCCCCGGCUAACUCCGUGCCAGCAGCCGCGGUAAUACGGAGGGGGCUAGCGUUGUUCGGAAUUACUGGGCGUAAAGCGCACGUAGGCGGCUUUGUAAGUCAGAGGUGAAAGCCUGGAGCUCAACUCCAGAACUGCCUUUGAGACUGCAUCGCUUGAAUCCAGGAGAGGUCAGUGGAAUUCCGAGUGUAGAGGUGAAAUUCGUAGAUAUUCGGAAGAACACCAGUGGCGAAGGCGGCUGACUGGACUGGUAUUGACGCUGAGGUGCGAAAGCGUGGGGAGCAAACAGG
rnacentral:rRNA from 1 species